rnacentral:misc_RNA from 1 species
GAUGAAGAAGGCAGCGAAAUGCGAUAAGUAAUGUGAAUUGCAGAAUUCAGUGAAUCAUCGAAUCUUUGAACGUACAUUGCGCCCCUUGGUAUUCCGAGGGGCAUGCCUGUUCGAGCGUCAUUAUAACCCCUCAAGCUCAGCUUGGUGUUGGGGCCUGCUGCACUGGCAGCCCUUAAAAUCAGUGGCGGCGCCAUCUGGCUCUAAGCGUAGUAAUUCUUCUCGCUAUGGAGUCCUGGUGGAUGCUUGCCAUCAACCCCCAAUUUUUCUAUGGUUGACCUCGGAUCAGGUAGGGAUACCCGCUGAACUUAAGCAUAUCAAUAAGCGGAGGA